UAAUUGGUAUGUGUUAAUAAUGAAUUCAUGUCAAUCACCUUAAUUAUAAUGUAUGUUCCCUCCCAGGCCUAUUCACCUCUGGGUGUUGACCCUGUGUACGAGUGAUUCUCACCUUGUGUGUAGCCUGUCUUCACAGGAACCACCACUUCCAUUAUCAUAAGUACACCGUGUUCAUUUAUAUGAGCACAAGUCAAGUCGAACACAAUACAAGAGAUUUUGCUCUUA